rnacentral:rRNA from 1 species
GGCUCAGGACGAACGCUGGCGGCGUGCUUAACACAUGCAAGUCGAACGGUGAUCCAGGGCUUGCUCUGGUGAUCAGUGGCGAACGGGUGAGUAACACGUGAGUAACCUGCCCCUGACUCUGGGAUAACUGCUGGAAACGGUGGCUAAUACCGGAUAUGAAACCCGAUCGCAUGGUGGGGUUUGGAAAGAUUUUUCGGUUGGGGAUGGACUCGCGGCCUAUCAGCUUGUUGGUGGGGUGAUGGCCUACCAAGGCGACGACGGGUAGCCGGCCUGAGAGGGCGACCGGCCACACUGGGACUGAGACACGGCCCAGACUCCUACGGGAGGCAGCAGUGGGGAAUAUUGCACAAUGGGCGCAAGCCUGAUGCAGCGACGCCGCGUGAGGGAUGAAGGCCUUCGGGUUGUAAACC